GAUGCAAACUGCAUUGUUGCGACCUUCUGGGGUAACCUAGAAGUAAAACUCGGCUAUAUGCUGGAACGUCUGUGUAUCGAGAACUACGAAUGUUAUAAUAAAAUAACAUGCGUAAUAAUGUCUCUCGUGCAGAAAAUCAGCAGGGAAGUCCCGCUAUGCGGGAUCCCUCAGAGACUACACGCCGAGCCCCAAUUGAUUUGAGAGAGAUAAGAAUGUAUCUUCUUGGAGCACUCCAUGAUGGAACUUUUAGUACCAAUAGACGCUUCCGGAUUUCUCAAAAAGGAACCGGUUGGCUAAAGAUACUACAAGGGUUAUUCAAGAAACUUGGUUAUAACUCCUGGAUAUACAAGGAAGGAAAAGACAGAGAUGUGUAUAUCCUAGAAACAUUAGCAAAGUUUCUUGACUUCAAGUUUAAUCCCCUGGGGUGUAAGACAAGAAAAGAGCAAAAGGGGUAUAUCCGAGGCUUUUUUGAUGCCGAGGGUGGUAUUCCUAGAAAUCGUACUGCGAAGUUCUACAUUCAAUUGGUACAGAAGAACAAAGAAAAACUGGAAAAAUUGAAGAAACUUCUGCAGGAACUUGGUAUCCAAACCGGGAAAAUACAUAAUCCAAGCAGAAGGGUUGACCCUGACUACUGGAGGAUGUAUGUCCUUACCGAUUUCCAAAGAACAUUUGUGAAAACGAUAGGAUCCUGGCAUCCAAGAAAAGUGCAUACUCUCAAUCAAAGGGUGAAGAUAUAGUCCAUGCCUUAUAGCGAUAUAGGG
rnacentral:ncRNA from 1 species